rnacentral:rRNA from 1 species
AAUCUUCCACAAUGGGCGAAAGCCUGAUGGAGCAACGCCGCGUGAGUGAAGAAGGAUUUCGGUUCGUAAAACUCUGUUGUAAGGGAAGAACAAGUACAGUAGUAACUGGCUGUACCUUGACGGUCCCGUAUUAGAAAGCCACGGCUAACUACGUUCCAGCAGCCGCGGUAAUACGUAAGUGGCACGCGUUGUCCGGAAUUAUUGGGCUGAAAACGCGCGCAGGUGGGUUCUUAAGUAUGAGGUGAAAGCCCACGGCUCAACCGUGGAGGGUCAUUGGAAACUGGGAGACUUGAGUGCAGAAGAGGAUAGUGGAAUUCCAAGUGUAGCGGUGAAAUGCGUAGAGAUUUGGAGGAACACCAGUGGCGAAGGCGACUAUCUGGUCUGUAACUGACACUGAGGCGCGAAAGCGUGGGGAGCAAACA